rnacentral:lncRNA from 1 species
GCCAAGAUUUUAAUGGUCAUGGAUAUCUGAGUGGUAGUUAUUCCCCAUAUGGCAAUAUGUAGUUCAUGUCCAGGGACUCCUAUUUGAGGGAGUAGUCUACUAUUUUUAGGGUUGGUUAUUCUUUUAAUUUUUUUUUUAACUUUUUGGGAGAUUGGGGUUGGGGAGGUGAAUUUGUGGUUGAUCUACUAUCCCCACAUUUAUAUGAUUUGGUAAUUGUUGGAGAAAUUAACCAUUUUUCUAAUCAAAAUAGCUCGG